GAACUCGUAGCUCAGUUGGUUAGAGCGCCACAUUGACAUUGUGGAGGCCAGAGGUUCGAGUCCUCUCGAGUUCACCG
rnacentral:tRNA from 2 species